UUGGGCCUUAUCUUCACCAAAU
rnacentral:siRNA from 1 species